UUGUUGGAGAGUUUGAUCCUGGCUCAGGACGAACGCUGGCGGCGUGCUUAACACAUGCAAGUCGAACGAUGAAGCCUUCGGGUGGAUUAGUGGCGAACGGGUG
rnacentral:rRNA from 1 species